rnacentral:rRNA from 1 species
AUACCUACGGGAGGCAGCAGUGGGGAAUAUUGCACAAUGGGGGAAACCCUGAUGCAGCGACGCCGCGUGGGUGAAGGAGCACCUCGGUGCGUAAAGCCCUAUCGGCAGGGAAGAAAGGCGGGCGGGGCCCGUCUGGACGGGACCUGACUAAGAAGCCCCGGCUAACUACGUGCCAGCAGCCGCGGUAAUAAGUAGGGGGCAAACGUUAUCCGGACUCACUUGGUGGAAAGG